rnacentral:rRNA from 1 species
GUAAUUCCAGCUCCAAUAGCGUAUAUUAAAGUUGUUGCGGUUAAAAAGCUCGUAGUUGGAUCUCAGCUCACGCUAAGUGGUCCACUUAAUGGUGGUUACUACUUAGCUGAGCAUUUUACAGAUUUGUCUCUUGAUGCUCUUCACCGAGUGUCAAGAGUGGUCUGUACGUUUACUUUGAAAAAAUUAGAGUGCUUAAAGCAGGCAACUCGCCCGAAUAAUCUUGCAUGGAAUAAUGGAAUAGGACCUUGGUUCUAUUUUGUUGGUCUCCGGAAUCUGAGGUAAUGAUUAAGAGGGACAGACGGGGGCAUUCGUAUUGCGCCGCUAGAGGUGAAAUUCUUGGACCGGCGCAAGACGAACUACAGCGAAAGCAUUUGCCAAGAAUGUUUUCAUUAAUCAAGAACGAAAGUUAGAGGUUCGAAGGC